rnacentral:misc_RNA from 1 species
AGUCGUAACAAGGUUUCCGUAGGUGAACCUGCGGAAGGAUCAUUAUCAAUGUUUAUAUCUUUUACACCUUUUUUUUCUUCUUCUCUUUUAUGGGGAGGAGAAAAAAAGGCACACCUUUGUGAACUUCAUAAAGUCUUUAUAUUCAUUUUUUACACCGUUGUCUAAUAUGAACUUUUUGCUUAUGUACUAUUCCUCUAGGGGAAGACAUACAUACUCAAAAAACAAAAACUCAUAUACAACCUUCAACGAUGGAUAUCUCGGCUCGU